rnacentral:lncRNA from 1 species
CGCUGCCCCUGGCUUUCACAUGGGCUGUAAUUUAGUUCAAUUCAGAACUGCAGACAGUACAGCUUUCACAGAAGCAAGGGAUGCCUGAGCACAAGUGGCUGAGUUCCGAGUGACUUUGUGAAGCACUUUCCUACCUCCCUCCUUCAGGAAAACGGGGAUUCUGCACCUGCAUCAGGGACAGUCUGGCAAAAGCCUCUGCUGUGCCUCCGGGGACAAGGAACUAGCACAAAUAACCAUUUUGAAAUUGGAUCUUGGCAAAAUUUGUAACGAAACCAUAAAGGAAACUGAAAGUACUGUGAUCUUCCUCUUCAAUGACAGUCCCACAAAAGUUGAAGAAAUAUGUUAUGUCUCCAAAGAAGAGUACAGUCGUGCCCUAAAAUUAGGACAUGAUUAAGAUACUAUCAAGUCAGCAGAAUUCUGAGUUUAGAGGUUGCUUCAGUGAACAUUCAACGCUGUCGGUGAGUUUGGAAUUAAAAUCAAAACCAUCGACCGUUGAUUGUACCCUAUGGCUAACCAUCAUCCGCUACUCCAUGGCUUUCAGAAUUUGCAGAAGACGGAAACUCAAAGCAGGACACCCCAGGAUGUUCUCUUCCCCACGCAGAGACUACUUUUUAAAAGGUCACAAUCAACAUUCAUUGCUGUCGGUGGGUUGAACUGUGUGGACAAGCUCACUGAACAAUGAAUGCAACUGUGGCCCCGCUUUUUGCAGACACAAUCGAGAGAGACCUCACCUUUGAAAGAUGUAUUGGAUGUAGUCAUGCGGAUCUCUAACUUUUCCAGUCGGCAACAUCUUCAGGUUUACUUCCUCAGUUUUUAUCAUGAUGAUCAGAUUUAGAUGAAAAAGGCACUAGUUGAAGCAAGAAUAAUACUUCUCUACAUUUCUGAUGAUACAGAGCACCUUUUUUUAAAAAAAAGUAACCUGUUUUAUUCAUGGAAUCUAUAAGAUAAUCAUUUAAGUUAGCACACCUUCCUACUGUCGCAGUGUGGGUGGGAGAGAAGACAUAAAGAAACACAUCAACACCCAAGCCAUCUGGCACCCAUGCCCUUAAUAACAACAGCACUUAAAAAUAUCAUUCUAUCUUUUAUUAGAUUUCUUGGUCAAAUUAGGACAGAAACACCCGGUAAUUUUAUAUUUCUGUUGCUCUGGGUGGGGACAGACUCAAGUAAUCCUUCCUCUUGCUAUGGUAUUUGCUAAGGAGGAAAAAAAAUAUAUAUAAAUAGCUACGUAACAGGACAUUUGUGAGAGUCAUAUGGUAGAUUGAUUUCUCUAAUUAAAUCCAACUUUAAGAUAAAACUUUACCCACUUUCUUUAUGCUUCGCCUUCAAAGAUGCUGAUCUGUAUUAUUAGACUUACAACCGUGAUCUAUUAAUUGCCUCAUAUUACUCAUCUGACUUCUUCACAAAAAGGCUAUGUAUGUCAUGGUUUUUCUGAAAUGGUUUGGCUCUCGGUUUUUAUAUUGAACUAUUGUCACUGAAUUCUACCACAGCAGUUUUUAAGCUUAUCACUUGAAAUAAUUAUUGUAUUGUGAUAUGUAAUAAUAGUAAUUAUAAUAACAUAAAUCCAUCAAGAAUGUUUAUGUUUGGAAUAUUUGGAAGGCUUGGAUAUUCAUAUUUUAAAAUCUGUCAAAUACAUUAUUCUUUCCAUUCCUUGCCCUUUUCAGUUUUAUUUUCCUUCAAGUCCCAUUGCAGAAACCGGUUCCUGGGACCCAGCUCCAGAUCUCAUCAUGACCAUAAAAUAUUUCACCAUGUUCACGAUCUAAACUGUGGUAUCUCACUUUCUGCCUAUCAUUUCCUACCAUUCUAGUUUCUCACUCUCUUAUCCACAAGGCGACUGUCCUUUCAGUUUUGGUGUUGCUGGGGGGAAAAAAAAAGUCACACAAUCAUAUGGAUGUAUGUUCGUACAUAUCCAUGGGCUUCCAAGUUCCUCGGUCCCUCAACUCUGACCUCAUAUUCUUCACCCUAUUCUCCUGUAGUGAGCCCAAAUAUUUUCCUCCUUCCUCAGCUGCUUCAUCAUUCCAUUUCCAACGGAUAAACUGACCUCUGGUUUUCACUGAGUAGCUUUAGUCCAUCAAAUUGCUCCCUUGAUUUCCUCAGCUAUACUCUACAAACAUAUAGGCUCCUGCCCCAUAGUUAUCUUCCUCAUGCUUUGCUCAGGACACAUAUAUCUCUCUUCAUUCACAGCAUUGGUUCUUUCCAUUUAACAUGUGACAAGGUUGGAGCACCUGGGUGGCUCAGUCAGCUAAGCAUCUGCCUCUUGAUUUUGGCUCAGGUCAUGAUCUCAGGGUCAUGAGAUCGAGCCCCACAACAGGCUCCAUGCUCAGUGGGGAGUCUGCUUCUCUCUCCAUCUCUUUCUCCUUCUGGCCCUCCUCCUGCUUGUGCACUCUCUCUCUCUCUCUUUCUCUCAAAUAAAUACGUCUUUAGAAAGAAACUUACAAGGUUUAGCUUUCUCUCUUCUCAAGCAAAAAACAAAGGAAAUUUAAGAAAAAUCUUCUCUGUAUUUAUUUCAUCCCAUUUUACAACUGAGACUUUGAAAAUAGUGUACAGCACUGUCUAAAUUUAUUGGCUUCCUAUUUUCACAACCACCUGUAAUUUGUCUUCUUCUUCCAUUCCUCUCUCUGCUUGUGUAUGCUAUUUUUCUACUGAAACCGUUCUUGACCAAAUCACCAGCAAGCUGCAUAUUGACAAAUACAAAUCAUACUUUUCUGCUUGGACUCCCCGUGAUGUCUGUCACUACUGACACUUUUUCCUUCUUUAAAGUCUAGUCUCCAUUGACUUUUGUGACCCUAAUCUCAUUUGAAUUUUUCUGUCUUUAUAACAGUGAUGUCUUUUUUCUUUUUUAGAAGCCUAUUUUAAUCUGUUUAAUCUACCCUUAUAUUUUCUUGCGAGAGACAUUGGCGACUGAAAUUUCAGAGUUUCUUUUCUUUUCAUGCUUCACAAUCUUUGAAGGAAUCUCAGCACAUGUAUAAUGUUUAUAUCUACUUAGAUUCUGCUGAUACUGAAAUCUUUGUCUCCAGUCUAGAUAUCCCAAAUCUGCAUAUCUAAUUGUCUUCUGCUCUUCCUAUAGACCCAAGUCUAUUCAUGACUAUAGUAAACUCAUCAUCUUUCCCCAAGGGGAUAACACCUUUCAUCUACUUGAUAGUCAAAGCCAGAAAUCUUCGUAUCAUUGCAUCUCCUGUCUCUUGUUUUCUGUUCUCUUCUGUACAUAUAAUCACAAUGUCCUAAAGAUGUGAACUUCUUGGAGCACCUGGCUGGCUCAGUCAGAAGAGCAUGCAACUCUUGAUCUCAGGGUUGUAAGUUUAAGCCCCAUGUUGGGCAUAGAGAUUACUUGAAUAAAUAAAAAAAAAAAAAGAUGCUCACUUCUUAUGAACUAAAAUUCCAAUUGUUCUGUGUAUUUCUACUACUUAGUUUAGAAACUCAUACUUCUUGCUUGGACCAUUCCAACAGUGUACAAUUAACCAUCUCUUCAAUAUUUUCUCCACAGUAUUUUUUUUUUAAUUAAAAACUUGACUAUGUUGUAAAACUCUUUAAUUCACUCUGAAUAAAGUUUUCUAAUAUGUUUAAUAGAUGGAUUGUCUGGUGGAAAAAAUGUGAAUAUUAGCUAAGUAGGAAAAAAAUGAAAUUUUACCUGGAAUUUCACAUAAUCCCUCAUGAUUUAGUUCAGAACAUUGAGGAAUUAAUUGAAAUUGUAAAAAAAUUUUCUGAAGGUAUUGCAGUUGAAGAUUUACUAAUCUUGAAAUAGUGAAGAAUUUUCUUGAUAUUAAAGCAAAAAGAAAAAAAUCAUGGGAAGAUCUUAAUCUUCAAUCUGUAGCAUGUCAAAAAAUAUAAUAAAAAG